GUCCUAGCCGUAAACGGUGCAUAUUUGCUGUAAAAGGAAUCGACCCCUUUUGUGGCGAAGCUAACGCGAUAAAUAUGCCGCCUGGGAAGUACGGUCGCAAGAUUAAAACUCAAAGAAAUUGACGGGGGCCUGCACAAGCGGUGGAGUAUGUGGCUUAAUUCGAUGCAACGCGAAGAACCUUACCUGGCCUUGACAUGCACAUAGUAGAACCAUGAAAGUGGGACGAGCCCGCAAGGGCAGUGUGCACAGGUGCUGCAUGGCUGUCGU
rnacentral:rRNA from 1 species